GAUGAACGCUAGCUACAGGCUUAACACAUGCAAGUCGAGGGGCAGCAUGGUCUUAGCUUGCUAAGACUGAUGGCGACCGGCGCACGGGUGAGUAACACGUAUCCAACCUGCCGUCUACUCUUGGACAGCCUUCUGAAAGGAAGAUUAAUACAAGAUGGCAUCAUGAGUCCGCAUGUUCACAUGAUUAAAGGUAUUCCGGUAGACGAUGGGGAUGCGUUCCAUUAGAUAGUAGGCGGGGUAACGGCCCACCUAGUCUUCGAUGGAUAGGGGUUCUGAGAGGAAGGUCCCCCACAUUGGAACUGAGACACGGUCCAAACUCCUACGGGAGGCAGCAGUGAGGAAUAUUGGUCAAUGGGCGAGAGCCUGAACCAGCCAAGUAGCGUGAAGGAUGACUGCCCUAUGGGUUGUAAACUUCUUUUAUAAAGGAAUAAAGUCGGGUAUGCAUACCCGUUUGCAUGUACUUUAUGAAUAAGGAUCGGCUAACUCCGUGCCAGCAGCCGCGGUAAUACGGAGGAUCCGAGCGUUAUCCGGAUUUAUUGGGUUUAAAGGGAGCGUAGAUGGAUGUUUAAGUCAGUUGUGAAAGUUUGCGGCUCAACCGUAAAAUUGCAGUUGAUACUGGAUAUCUUGAGUGCAGUUGAGGCAGGCGGAAUUCGUGGUGUAGCGGUGAAAUGCUUAGAUAUCACGAAGAACUCCGAUUGCGAAGGCAGCCUGCUAAGCUGCAACUGACAUUGAGGCUCGAAAGUGUGGGUAUCAAACAGGAUUAGAUACCCUGGUAGUCCACACGGUAAACGAUGAAUACUCGCUGUUUGCGAUAUACUGCAAGCGGCCAAGCGAAAGCGUUAAGUAUUCCACCUGGGGAGUACGCCGGCAACGGUGAAACUCAAAGGAAUUGACGGGGGCCCGCACAAGCGGAGGAACAUGUGGUUUAAUUCGAUGAUACGCGAGGAACCUUACCCGGGCUUAAAUUGCAGAUGAAUUACGGUGAAAGCCGUAAGCCGCAAGGCAUCUGUGAAGGUGCUGCAUGGUUGUCGUCAGCUCGUGCCGUGAGGUGUCGGCUUAAGUGCCAUAACGAGCGCAACCCUUGUUGUCAGUUACUAACAGGUUCCGCUGAGGACUCUGACAAGACUGCCAUCGUAAGAUGUGAGGAAGGUGGGGAUGACGUCAAAUCAGCACGGCCCUUACGUCCGGGGCUACACACGUGUUACAAUGGGGGGUACAGAGGGCCGCUACCACGCGAGUGGAUGCCAAUCCCCAAAACCUCUCUCAGUUCGGACUGGAGUCUGCAACCCGACUCCACGAAGCUGGAUUCGCUAGUAAUCGCGCAUCAGCCACGGCGCGGUGAAUACGUUCCCGGGCCUUGUACACACCGCCCGUCAAGCCAUGGGAACCGAGGGUACCUGAAGUGCGUAACCGCGAGGAGCG
rnacentral:rRNA from 1 species